rnacentral:rRNA from 1 species
UACGUAGGUGACGAGCGUUAUCCGGAAUACUGGGCGUAAAGCGCACGCAAGCGGCUGGACAAGUCUGGCGUGAAAUCCUCUGGCUUAACCAGGGGCGGUCGCUGGAGACUGUUCAGCUUGAGGCGAUGAGAGGGGUGCAGAAUUCCCGGUGUAGUGGUGGAAUGCGUAGAUAUCGGGAGGAACACCCGUGGCGAAAGCGGCUCUCUGGGACGGUACUGACGCUGAGGAGCGAAAGCGUGGGGAGCGAACAGG